rnacentral:rRNA from 1 species
UGGGGAAUAUUGGACAAUGGGCGCAAGCCUGAUCCAGCCAUGCCGCGUGAGUGAUGAAGGCCCUAGGGUUGUAAAGCUCUUUCACCGGUGAAGAUAAUGACGGUAACCGGAGAAGAAGCCCCGGCUAACUUCGUGCCAGCAGCCGCGGUAAUACGAAGGGGGCUAGCGUUGUACGGAUUUACUGGGCGUAAAGCGCACGUAGGCGGACUUUUAAGUCAGGGGUGAAAUCCCGGGGCUCAACCCCGGAACUGCCUUUGAUACUGGAAGUCUUGAGUAUGGUAGAGGUGAGUGGAAUUCCGAGUGUAGAGGUGAAAUUCGUAGAUAUUCGGAGGAACACCAGUGGCGAAGGCGGCUCACUGGACCAUUACUGACGCUGAGGUGCGAAAGCGUGGGGAGCAAACAGG